rnacentral:lncRNA from 1 species
UCUCUCUCUCUCUCUCUCUCUCUCUCUCUCUCUCUCUCUCUCUCUCUCUCUCUCUCUCUCUCUCUCAUCAACCCAGACCCUAUUCUCUUCACCUCGCCAGCACCAUCCCCGCCUCUACCGCGUCGCACCAUAUCUCCUCCGUCUGCAACGCCGCACCAGAUCUCCUUCGCCUGCGACGCCGUCUAGUCCUUCCUCCAUCGCACCAGAUCUCCUAUUCGAUCUCAGAGCAACUCUGAUCUGCGCCAAGCUGGCGACGACGAGAGAGUAAGGUUGUGGUUAUGGUUAUGGUUGCUGCCGGGGCGCGCUCGGGGCUAGAUCUCCUCCGCCUGCGACGUCGUCUAGUCCUUCCUCCACCGCACCAUAUCUCCUAUUCGAUCCCUGAGCAACUCUAAUCUGCGCCAAGCUGGUGACGACGAGAGAGUAAGGUUGUGGUUAUGGUUAUGGUUGCUGCUGGGGCGCGCUCGGGGCUAGAUCUCCUCCACCUGCGACGCAAUCUAGUCCUUCCUCCAUCGCACCAGAUCUCCUAUCUGAUCCCGGAGCGACUUUGAUCUAUGCCAAGCCGGCGACGACGAGAGAGUAAGGCUGUGGUUGUGGUUGUUGUCGGGGCACGCUCGGAGCUAGGGCUCGGCUGGAGUUCAAUCCGGGCUGGAUCGUGGUUGGGGAAGGGCGUUGCUUGCUGGCGCUUGUUCUGCAGAGUGAGGUGCGCCGGGGUCGGUAGAGGAGGCCGGUGUGCUCGCCGUCGGGGAAGGUGGGUGAGAAAAGAAAUAUGGGUGCCCAGAGCAUGACCUCAAGUCAGUUAGUAGUUUUUUUUUUUUAUAAUUUUUUUUUAUCCUUACAUUUGAAUAUUGGGGUAGUAAGUGAUUUUUGAGGAUUGAUAAGUGAUCAUUGAGGUCAGUAAGUUAUUAUUUGAGGUUUGUAACUAGAUUAUUAAGGGUCAGUAAGUGAAUAUAUAUUUUUUUUUAUCCUUACAUUUGAAUAUUGGGGUAGUAAGUGAUUAUUGAGGAUUGAUAAGUGAUCAUUGGGGUCAGUAAGUUAUUAGUUGAGAUUUGUAACCUGAUUAUUGAGGGUCAGUAAGUGAUUAUUAGGUGUCAGUAACUGAAAACUAAGUGAUUAUUGGGUGUCAGUAACCGAAAACUAAAAGUUAUUGAGGUCAGUAACUCAAUUAUUAGGGUUAGUGAAUCUUCUUUUCUAUUACAUUACACUGAAAUAAGUUGAUUAUUGGGGGUUAGUAACUGAUUAUUGGUUAGUAACUGAUUAUUGGGGGUCAGUAACCGAGUUACUAGGGGUCAGUAACUAAUUAUUGAGGAUUAGUAAUGAGGGUCAGUAACUGAUUAUUGGGGGCCAGUAACUGAUUAUUGGGGAUCAGUAACUGAGUUACUGGGGGUCAGUAACCGAGUUAUUGGUUACCGAAAUCCGAUGACCGGAGAAAAUCCGAGUUACUGGGGGUUGGUGACUGGAAUCUUGCGGUCUGAAAAAAUUCGGCAACCGGUGACCGGAAUCCGGCGGCCGGAAAAAAUUUGGCAACCAGUGACCGGAAUCCGACGGCCGGUGACUGGAGAACGGUGAGGCUCCGGCAAAGUCUUUUCUCUCUUGCAUUUCUCUCUCUCUCUCUCUCUAUGCAUAUUUAAGAGGUGAGGGUAAAAUAGUCUUAAAAUAAUAUAGUUUGUUAAGACUUUAGUAAAAAUUUGUGCAUUUGGGCAUAAAAAAGUUACCUUAUAUUGGAAUGGGCUCAUGAAAGGAUUGUCAAUGGAAUGAGGAAUGAGGGGUUUAAAUUAGUCUAAAUGGACAUUUUCCCCAAUGCAAAUGACUAAAAUAUCUUCUGUUUAUACGAUUAUCAAUUAGAUAAGACGUAAUUCUAUGUCGCAUUUCUCAUCUUGUACCGGUAUGUUAUGAUGUUAUUGUUAACAUAAUAUUAGAUAAUAUGAGAGAUAACUUUUAGUUUAAGUUUCUCUCUUUGUACAACUUUAACAUUAUUUAGUAAGAACCAUAUAAGUGGUAUGACUAUACACACUUACAUAGUCGACCUAUAAUGUUUGAGACCUGAUCUCGCACAUCUCUUAUUUACACAACUAUAUUACUAUAAGAAAAUACCAGCUUUCCCACAUGUGCUCGCGCGCGUGCAGAAGUGUGUUUUCUGUCAGUUUAAUAAUUAUGAAAUCUUUGCUAGUUCGAUCAAUUAUUGUGUUGUUUUCACAGACAACUUUAUGAAAUUCAAAUAAAAAUGUCACAAAUG